CCACCUCACUAGCUAUCUGAAUGAUCAAUCCCCAAUUCUGAGAUCAACAGUGUAACCUGCAGCUGAAUAUUUACCAUGAGACAGACGUCAUAAGGCCACCUCUAUGUAUCUGUCCACCCAUCAUUACCUAUCCUAUCUCCUCUCCGACAGACGACAGAUCUCCUCCAUUUAGAUCACUACCAUUUACCACCCCUCAUCUCUGUCUUUAUGUCCAGGACUCAGCUCCUCGUUCUUCCCAAUCAUCCUUAGCUCCACUGAAGAAUGCACAGCGAGGAAUGAGGCAACUGCAGUAGUGUAGACGAGUUCAGGGCUCCAUUCUCUGUCCAACACCAGAGAUCUGCGCAGGUGUCGACAGAGGAUACCUCCAUCCACGCUGCUGCCUGCAGGUGGCGGUUGGGAUCACAGAAGAAUGGAAAGCGCAAAGGAUCAGCUUGGGGCGCAACAGGGAGGGAGGUUGUCAUGGGCAUAAAGAGGGGCGCCGUAGGGCGCAAGUGUCCUAGUUGGGCCUUAAGCCCAUUAGUGUUAAUUAGUGUCUCUCUUAGUUAUUUGUCUAUAGGAAUAGUACCAUAUUGUCUAGGCACAAGAGGUGUUAGUCCUAUGUACCUUUUAUAUUCAGCCCAUGGGGCACAAUGGAAAGCAAGCAAUGAAUUAUGAAGAAACAAUUCUAGUCUCCCUCAAUCUCUCAAGCUCUUGGCAAAGCAUAAGGCCUAGUUAUCCUAAAGCUCUUGGCAAAGCAUAAGGCCUAGUUAUCUAUCCUAAAAUACCCUCGUUCAUAACAUCUGGUAUCUAGAGUCCAGCGAUCCUCUUCAUCCAAAAAAAAAACAUCGAUUCAGAUCCCGAUCCCCACCACCAUCCGCCGCCGCCGCCGCCGCCACAACUCCAACACCGGCAGCCGCCACCACAACCACCAGGCCGCCGUCCGCCUCCCCCUGCACCAACGACCUCGAAGCUUCCCUGGCGAUCAUCACAGCCGCCAUGAGGGCCAACGCCGCCGCCAUCAAGGCCCUGUCCGCUGAGUGCUCGGCGUCCAGCAACAGCUCGGCUGCUGGGAAACACCACAACAAUCGUCCGCCGCGGUUCCAGAAGCUGGGUUUUCCGCGUUACGACGGUAAUUCCGACCCCCUCAUCUUCAUCAACAGUUGCGACACAUACUUUCGUCGAGAGCGCAUCAUGGUGGAAGAAAAGGUAUGGAUGGCUUCCCGUCAUCUGGACGAUGGCGCUCGUACGUGGUUCCUCCAAGUCCAGGAGGAGGGCACCCCGACAUGGCGUCGCUUCACCGAGCUCCUGCAGCGGCGCUUCAAACCAACUCCGCGCCCCAAUCCGCUCCACCGGUUGUCCCUUGGUGUCGACAACUGCCUACGCAGCCUUGCAGAGAUGACCGCACAGCUGGAUCGCCUCCGGGUGCGUCUCGAGAAGGAGGACCGUGAACGCCGGGCAGCUGUACGCCUCCAGGCAGCAGCACGGGGACUCCUGGCACGUCGCCGAGCGCAGGCUCUUCGUGCCACAAAAGCAACGAAGGAGGAAGCAACGGUGCGCCUCCAGGCAGCAGUGCGAGGAAUGCUUGUCCGUCGUAUGGUGCGGCAGAUACGCAUGCUCCUCAGCUCGACGUUGUCGUACGUGUUCAUCCACUCGGACUCGCCGAUACGGCCUGCGGCUCCAAUUGCAGUGGGUGUCCAAGUAUGGGCAUUUCCAGUGCAGCGACCUCGCAUCAACAUCCAGCAUCAGGCAUCAAAGGCUAUCUCAUUCAUCCUUGUGCCUGCCGUGGUGCUAGACACUUUCAGCAUAAGAUCCAGCUGCUUCACACUCCACCCUUCAGCCUACAUGAAGCCAGCAGAGGCGCUCUUUCCAUGGGAUCCAGGUGGAUAUCCUUAUAUUUUAGUCUUCAAUAAAAGGGGAAGCCAAGAUGUAAAAGGCUUAACCCUAUUUCGCUUCAGCUCUCCAGCUCGAGGACGAGCUGGGUCUCCAAGGGUGGGGGAGAUGUCAUGGGCAUAAAGAGGGGCGCCGUAGGGCGCAAGUGUCCUAGUUGGGCCUUAAGCCCAUUAGUGUUAAUUAGUGUCUCUCUUAGUUAUUUGUCUAUAGGAAUAGUACCAUAUUGUCUAGGCACAAGAGGUGUUAGUCCUAUGUACCUUUUAUAUUCAGCCCAUGGGGCACAAUGGAAAGCAAGCAAUGAAUUAUGAAGAAACAAUUCUAGUCUCCCUCAAUCUCUCAAGCUCUUGGCAAAGCAUAAGGCCUAGUUAUCCUAAAGCUCUUGGCAAAGCAUAAGGCCUAGUUAUCUAUCCUAAAAUACCCUCGUUCAUAACAGAGGUGCUGCUGUUGUGGUGCAGUUGAGUUCAGGGAGGGGGGGACAUCAUCAAGAAGACGGUUUGAUCACCAUGUGGUAAUUGUUUCUGCUAUAGUAGAAACACCUGAAGCAAAGUGCAAGUAACAGAGCCCUACAGACUAAGAAUCACAGUCUCUUCAACAGACAAGAUGGUAGGGUGCGAGGCCACAAGCCGAGGUGAGCACCAUACACACACUAGUUGGGAAAAAGGAUGCCUCAAGCAGCCGUAAGUUCUUUAACCCAACCACACCCAUUACUUUCGGUACCUUGGCCUUGUGCCAUAAAUGUUACCAUGGAAACAAA
rnacentral:lncRNA from 1 species